GAUGAACGCUGACAGAAUGCUUAACACAUGCAAGUCGACUCGAGUCUUCGGACUUGGGUGGCGCAGUGUAGCAAUACAUGGGCGGCGACCGGCGCACGGGUGCGUAACGCGUAUCCAACCUUCCCGUUACUCAGGGAUAGCCUUCCGAAAGGGAGAUUAAUACCUGAUGGUGUUCAAAUUCCGCAUGUUAUUUGAACUAAAGAUUUAUCGGUAACGGAUGGGGAUGCGUGACAUUAGGUAGAUGGCGGGGUAACGGCCCACCAUGCCCACGAUGUCUAGGGGUUCUGAGAGGAAGGUCCCCCACACUGGAACUGAGACACGGUCCAG
rnacentral:rRNA from 1 species